AAUAUACUCCCUCCGUCCCAAAAUUCUUGUCUUGAAUUUGUCUAGAUACGGAUGUAUCUAUUCACAUUUUAAUGUUAGAUACAUCCGUAUCUAGAUAAAUCUAAGACAAGAAUUUUGGGACGGAGGGAGUACCAU
rnacentral:pre_miRNA from 1 species